rnacentral:lncRNA from 1 species
CUGAAUGCGUAAUACAAUAGUCUUGAACACUCCACCACAAGCCGGUAGGAUUUGUUCUUGGAUUCUUCAAUUAAACAGUAAAUUAAAUCAAGGAAAUAAAACUGGAAUAUAACGUAAGGUUAAAUCCGGUAUAAAGUUGCACAAUAGUUUCCGGUGUAGAAACUAUUAUGCGAAAAAUAUCUAAAAGCUAAAAUGGGAAAGGUAAAUUUGCAAGGGAAAAAGAAUGUAAAGCUUGCAAAAGAAAUAAAUAAAAUAAACAAUGCUGGAAAAGAA